AUUGAACGCUGGCGGCAGGCUUAACACAUGCAAGUCGAGCGAGCGGCGGACGGGUGAGUAAUGUAUGGGGACUGCCCGACAGUGUGGGAUGACUACUCGAAACGGUAGCUAAUACCGCAUACUAUCGGAUAACCCAUAUAGGAUUAGCUAGUAGGUGAGGUAAUGGCUCACCUAGGCGACGAUCCCUAGCUGGUCUGAGAGGAUGAGCAGCCACACGGGGUCUGAGACACGGCCCAGACCACUACGGAGGCGACAGGGGGGAAUAUUGUACUAGGGGCGCGACGCUGACGCAGCCCUGCCGCGUGGAGUAAGAAGUCCAUAGGGUUGGAAAGUACUUUCAGUUGGAAGGCGUUACCGAAAGAAGAAGCACCGGCUAACUCCGUGCCAGCAGCCGCGGUAAUAC
rnacentral:rRNA from 1 species